AAAAUACUUCCUCCGUCCCAAAAUUCUUGUCUUAGAUUGCCAAGAUACGGAUGUAUCUAACACUAAAAUGUAACUAGAUACAUCCGUAAUUAGACAAAUCUAAGACAAGAAUUUUGGGACGGAGAGAGUAUAUU
rfam:Triticum aestivum genome assembly, contig: Triticum_aestivum_CS42_TGACv1_scaffold_224879_3B